rnacentral:tRNA from 1 species
GCCCUGGUAGUAUAGUCCGGUCUAGUAUAUGCGGCUGUCGCCCGCAGGACAUCGCAGAGAGAAACGCUCUGUGACAUGAGCCGGGUUCGAAUCCCGGCCAGGGCGCCA